GAGGAACAAGAAUCACUUGAACCUGGGAGGUGGAGAUUGCAGUGUGCAGAGAUCACUCAUUUUUUGGUUGCAGAGAUUGUGCCACUGCACUCCAGCCUGGGUGACAGUGCAAGACUCCGUCUAAAAAAAAAAAAAAAAAAGAAAGAAAGAAAGAUUUAAACUCUGUGUUACCUAAAGAAUAUCAAAAUUUUGUGUCUGUGCUAAUUGAUGUUGGUUUGUUAGAGCUUUUAACUAUUGAGGUUGAAGCUUGGGCUUCACUCUUCCUCCUGGCCAAUUAAUAGCCUGGUUAUGUGGCUGAGGAUUUCACUGAGUCCUGCCAGUCACCUUGAAAAUGCCCAUGAAGGGUUAACAAAAGGGAAGGCAGGGAAUUACAGUAUGCCAAUCAAUUUCAUCCCUGUGCUUCCUGGGUUGUUUGUGUUUUCAUAGUUUCAGUGUGAAUAUAACUUGGAUUUUAGCUGAGAAGUAGCUUGACACAGAUUAAAGUGUCAUUUUCUUUAUUUCCCUCAGCUUUGAGAGAAUUUGUUACCCCAGUAUUGGACAUUCCAGAAUUAUGUUUACUCACAAGUUAGACUGUGUACCUUCUGUUACACUGGUUGCUUGUGGGAGAAGGAUCCGUUUCCUCUUUAUCUCCAUAAACCCAAUUCUAUUAGUGUCAGUUAUUGUUGUGAAGCUUAAGUGAAAGUCGAUUACACAAAAUCACCAAGUCAAAAUAAAGGACUUUUCUAGGAACAAAUUACAUCAGUAGAUAACGUAACUUAAAUUAUAAUAUACUAGUGAAUAAUUUUUUAUCACUGAGUACUUUACUGUCUGUAGAAUAUAGUAUAAUCAGACAGCGUAAACUGUUAUUUCCUAUCCUGGGCAUAUUAUUCUGUAUCUUUUAUCUCUUACACUAAUCAAAGAAUAUUAAAAGGAACUCAGAAUGAAUAAGCACACAAAAAAUGAGAAAUAUAAGCGUAACUCUUUUAGUCUGUAAAAUGUCAGUAGUUAAAUAGUAGUUGUGAAGUGCCCGUUUUUACAAAUUAUGAAUAUUCAAAGGAUACAAAAACAUUUUUAAAUCAAAGCAAAAUAUAUAGAUUAUUUCUCAUGUGAAAUGCUUGGGAACAGAAAUGUUUUGGGUUUUAGAGUAUCUGCAUUAUUCUUACUGGUCAAAUAUCCCAAAUCCAAAAACUGAAAUGCUCCAAUGAGCAUGUCCUUUGGACGUUAAGUCAGCACUCAAAAAGUUCGGAUUUUGGAACGAGAAACAUUUAUUCAUGAAGGAAUGAGUAAACACGGUACUUCCUAGUUGAAGCAGAGGAGUUCUGAGGUAUGUACCCAAGUUUGAAUUCUUCAGUAUCUUAUCUGUCAUAUAUUGUUGGUAGCUGGCAAUAUUGAUCCCUUUUUUGGAGCUGUUCUCCCAAUUGAACUUUUAGAAGCAAAUGAUGAAAUCAUCCUUGCACUUUUUGAACAUAUCCUAUUAAUUAUACUGUCGUUCUAAAUAUUUACAAUGUAUUCUUUCAAAUAUUUGUAGAUACAAUAGAAAGCAUUUCUCUAUGACAUGCUUUACUGAAGUGACAUUAGAUAUUCCCCUGUUUACACACAUUCAUGUGGUUAAUGACUCACGUUACCUGUUAAGGUUUCCUGUUUCCUGAUUUAAAGAUAUUUAAAGGCCUCAGUACUGAAAUGUUUAUUUUUUACCUCUGGAUCUUCUGCUUCAUAUGGUAACAUAUAAACAGGCUAAAUACUUAUUUUAACACUACCAGACCCACUUUUUACCUUUAUUAUGAAGCUAAGGUUUGGUCAGCUGAGGGCAAGUUGUAUGCAUAACAUACCUGGCAGUAUAGUCAGUGAACUGUCACAGAGAAGGGAGUCAAAAUAUAAACACUGAGCAUUUCUACAGCAGCUUAGAGCCAGGAUUAACUUGGAUCACCUAGUAUUCUGUUUUUAAUGAAAUUCUCUCCCUUGUAUUUUCAUGUUUGGGAGAGAGUCCAAAGUUAUCUCAUGCUAAUUUAGUUAGGCAGUGCCCUCCGGGGAUGUCACAGGCUUCCCUGACCUCUCCAGAGAGAGAUUCAGUGAAGGGAUGAGGAGAAUUAAACAUUCCUCAGAAAUUGGAAAGCAACAACCCCCAGAGAAUUUGCAGAGAAACUCGCUCCAGACUCGGCUGCCAGAGACUCAAGUCACCUUUUCAGCACUUGCUUAACGUCUCUCUCAGUCCCAUCUGGCUUGACUCAGAGGUCAGUCUGGGGGACUGGGGAGUGGUGGCAGCUCGGAGAAGAAUUCAAGGGAGGGCCACCAAUAGCACGUUCUGCUUUUGUUGCUUGUUUUUAUCUGAAGUACAUUUGAAAAGAUGGACAGGGCAUAGGAUUGAAGUAAUAACUUGAUUUUGCUUGGCUAUCUUUUUUUCCUUUUAACCCAAAAUUUACUUUAGGUGAACUGGUAUUUUCAUUUCCUAAAUAAUGAGUUCCUUGAUUCUUGAUGACUGAAAUUUAAGAGUUGUUGUUGUUUCUAUUAUACAGGACCUCUGUGACUAAUUAUUUUGUAAUUAUAUUAGGUAUUUUACAAAGGAUAUUUUCUCUUACGCAUUUAAUGAAAUUUGGGGGGUGGGGGUUGGAAAAUAUGUUUCCGGUUUUAAAAUCAUAUUCCCUUUGGGGUUUACAUUUCCUAUAUGAAGAAUUUCAGAAAACUAGGAAAACAAGAGUAUUAUUAAAUAUUGAAUCUGUAUUAUAAAGAAAUCUAAGGAGCUGCGUUUUAUAGUUUGUUCAUCGUAUUUUCUACUGAACAGAAUAAAGUUCAGUGUGCCCUACAGGUGUAGUAUGAGAAGAAGCUUUGGGGUUCCCUGCUCGAUUUUACACUGAAGUCAGAUUCACCAGGAAAUAAACAGCCCUUACCAGGUGCUCCUUUAGACCAGAUUGCUGAGCUGGGAGACCUAGCUGACCAGAUCUGACCCGUUGCCAGGCUUUGUUUAGUCCAGUCGGUGUUUCAGCCCACAGUUAACAUUUUAGAGUUGGUUGGGUUUUUUGAAAACAUAACUCAGUUUUUAGCAUGUUCGAUGUGCAGCUCCCCUGUGUAAGCAGAUCUGGUGAGACUGGUUCAACAUCCCCGGGUGGAAACAGUCUGUGGGAAACGGGGCGCUUGCUGGGCCUUCUAGAAGGGGAGAGCGUCUGCACGCUGCCUGCGGUGAGCUUAGCUGGGCUCUGGAGGCACUGGAGUAGCGAGGCCCACCUUAGACUCUCUUCCCAGGCCAUACACAAGAGAGAAAUCACUUUUCAAAGUAAGCGACUUUGUUCAUUAGAUAGUUAUAGCAGAUAUAUAAACACGACACUUAUUUCUUCAUUGGCUCACAUUAGGAUUCUCAAGAUGCUUUUCUCUCUCCAUGGUGGCCUCCAAAGAGACCUGGCCUGGGAGACGGAAGGUGUGGGUUCUAAUGCAGAGCCUUUCCCCAGCACCUGAAACAGCUCAUGCGACUCUUUUCCUAAAGCCCAAAUGAACCUGCCGUCUCAAAAGUUCUGUGAUCUUUGCUCCUGUCUAAUUUCCUGUGACUCAGUGCACAUCAGCUUAAAUAACCUAACUUCUCCUUCCUUCUGUGUCGCACACAAAAAUUAAUCAUGGAAUCAGGCAUCUUGAUGCACUGAGAGUAUUACAUUUAAACAGAUGAGCAGAGAAUCCCUUUGUGAAGAUACGAAUCAUCCUGUACUUCACAUACCCACCCUCCAUUUCGCAUGUGUCGUUUUCGUAUAGUGCAGCCAGUCUGCGCACUGCGAGAGGGGACAUUUGCGGUUGCUGUCUGAAGUAGAGGAGUUAAUGAAGGCACUAGGCAUGUUUCGAAGGACCCAGGUGAAAGCUUUCUUACAUCCUCAGCCCUUUGCUUUAGGGCUGAAGACAGGACGGAGAGAAGAGUCCUGGGCUGAGUCUCGGAAGGACCUUCUCAAGGCCUUUGCGUUUGUUCUGCUGUUUCCUAAACCUUUCUCUACUGUGCCGAAGGAGUUAAAGGGCUCCGAGCCCUAACCGUCCAUCGGGGAGUGUCUCGGGCACCAGAGAGAAUCUGGCACAGGACAUGUUUUCAUGGAACUGCUUAUCAAAACUAAGCUUCUGCCGUUUCAUUUAGACGGGGUAGAUUGGGUGGAAAACUGGCCCCGGGACCAGGAAAUUUGCCUUCUGUUCCUGCUCACCCGCCGCGUGACCCUGUUGCAGCCUCAGGAGCGCUGUGAGGAGCCGUACUGGACACGUAGCAGGCAGGCCUGCGAUGCCCGUGCUGUCUUUCCCCCGCACACCCUCCAGACUGGCAGGGGUGCCUGCCAAGAGGGCGUGCCUCAGCUCCCGUGGAUCGCAGGUGCGGCAGACGGCACUGUUCCCUCCAAGGGAGCCCUACACCUGUGCCCCAGCGUGGAGACAGGGAGCACUCUUCACUCUUAGGAGUAGAUGUUCACUACUUUCGCUAGUGCUCCUAGCAAAGUUUCCAACUGAGCUGCUGAGUAGGAGACAGAUUCGUACACAUGGAGAAACUGGUUCUUCUGCCUUCUAGAUUUCAUGCCACCAUGAUGACUGGGAUGUCCCAUUGUCCCCCCGGGCAAACCUGAAGUCCAUUUUGCUGUUAGAAAUGCUUGAUUUUUUAAAAAUCUGUUUAUUCUAGAGUCAGUCACACACAGGGCAAUCUAUGUGAAAUAAAAGAAAAAAAGGAAGGAGCAGUUGUGUAAUUGCCGUACCGUCAAUCAUGUUCAUUCUCACACUGACCGUGGCUUUUAAUGUCUGUCCACCUGCAAUCUGCAGCCUCCCUAGAAAGUAAGGGCAGCACCCUGGAGGUGGGGGACUUACCACUUGCCGGUAGGUUUACUCUCGGGGAGACACUGGGGUUUUAUCUCCAUGCCCUUGGAGAAUUGAGUUACUGAAUACUUCCCUUAAAGACCUAAGUCACUGCAGCCCAUUUGCAUAGUCCUCUCACUGAAGUCAGAACUGAAUUUGUUCUUCUUCAUUUUUGGUUAAGAAGAUACACAUUUUAGGGGACAGCUCAGAGCAAUGCGGCUGACCUAGUGGGAAAAGACACUUUGGUUUCUUGUCGUGUUUCUGGGUGACCCAUGGCCCGCAUCUGCCAGCAUCUUCACCUUGGUUUCUUGUCGCGUUUCUGGGUAACCCAUGGCCCGCAUCUGCCAGCAUCUUCGAACGUGUCUGCAGCACCAGUCAGCCUCACCCACCCUGUCUUUCCCUUUGCAAUCUUAGAAAGGAUUUAGUAGAAAUGGGAACUAAAGAUUGAGCAGAAAGUAUAAUUACCACAUGUAUUUACCAGCUCCUUUUCAAGAGCAGUAAAAGUAUUCUAAAUAUUCUGCUUGUACAUACACUGGCACUCUAAAACUACCAGCUUUGUAAAACAUAGUUUUGAUUUUUGGAGCAAAUGUUCAAUUGCUGUUCUUUGACAUUAUUGAUUUAUAAACAAAAUGAUCAGCAUUCCCUGAUAUCUCGAAGCAAAGAAAUUAGGGGAACACAUUUAAAAUGUAUCAGUUUGAAACCUUCUAAAUGCUCUUACCUAAAUCAUAACCACAAGACACUGAAAAUAUCAAGGUCUAUAAAAAAUGAACAGGGACGUGAAUGUGUUGGGCCUGGUAUGCUUUAUUUUGAAGACCCAGCGUGUUUCUCAUCUUCCCAAGGAAGAUUCAAAUCAUGAAGUUAACAUCUGCCUUUUCAUAAACACCACCCUCAGAGUGCUCUUUCUCUUAAGGUUGGAGGCUGAAAGAAAGAAGCACAAAUCUUCCCUGGGCCAAGAGUUUCAUCAUAAGCCCUGUGUGAUCAAUAAGUACAUUGUGGUGGUUAUUUCAUAGCUGAUUAACUUAUAUGUCUACAAGCCAACACUUGACUUGAAAGGCUGGUCGGGUUGCUCGCUGUGUGAGCAUGGCCUUUACCGGCCUGCCCUGGCAGCCAGCUCUGGGACUGCUCACUCCUGACCGCAACCUGGGUACAGCCCCUGAAGUUUCGUCGUGAGUAACCCGUCAGCAGGAGCCCAUGCUUCUCUGAAAGGGCAUUUUGUCUUUUUUGGCAGUACCAAAUGGCAAGAUAAUUAGUGUGAGAGAGAGAGAAAAAACAGAAUUGAAAACCACAUCCGAUACCUGGUUAUGGACUCUUCAACUUUGUGCGGCAGAAAAUGUGGUGGUUUAUUUUCCUUAAUAAAUGCAGAUGGUUAUAAGCAAUUGAGCAUUUAAUGAUGAGAUGAUGCUGAAAGGCAUAACUUAAUAAAAAUUGCCUCUGUGUUUCUCACUUCAUUGUUGAAACAUACUGUGCUUCUCGGCUUUUUCUGUAAUCAGGUUUUUAUCAGAUUGUCCUUUAAUUCAUGUCAGGAUCUUACAUCUUAGUACUUCCUCUUCGAGUUUUUGUAUUCCUCCUUGCAAACUCUUUCAUUUUUAGGGAAAGGGGUUCCUAUAGUUUUUUUAGUCUCUAGUGUUGUUUUUAAUUUCACCAAUUAUGGAGUAAAUAAAUCACUGUGUACUUAGAAGAAAACUUGGCAGGAGAGCAGAAUAUGUUAAGGACUCUUGCUUUUCAUUGUGAGCGAGAUUUCCCAACUGGAGCGUCUCUGUUUUAUUUUGCCUCUGGCUAACAUCUGAAGAUCAGUAAUAAAGCCCUAUGCAAAUA